GUCCUGGACAAAGCUGCCAGUCAGAGCUGCUUGCUCAGUGUGGGGCAUCUGGUGUGACUGGUGGGACCCUGUGUUUCAAGGGUCACAGUGCUCCCUGGAACCCCAUACUUACUCUGAAGACAGCACCCCACCAUGUACCCCUUCCUUCUGCCAUGGCCACAUGAGCCUGCAAGAGCUGCCAGGCUGACAUGGGGCUUUCUGGCCACAGUGACUGAUCCAGGGAUGGGAAGAGAUGUAGCCUUGGCGUUGGAAGUUUUCAAGUCUUGGGUAUGUCUGCAUGCACAGUAUUGGCAGCGUGAAAAUGGACUUCAAAGGAGGAAUGUGUCACUAUGAGCUCUCUGCCAUGUGAGGGCGCCAUCCCACAAGGGAAGGAGAGGAGAGCUGGCUGGACAGCAGCACUCAUGUACAGAAUGCCAGUGGUCCCGUGGUACAGGCUGUCAUGGAAAUGCAGAGCAGAGCCACAUAUGGCCAUGUCACUCAGGCUCACGGCAGAAGAGACUUCCCUUGUCUUAGAUGAGACUUCAGACUUGGACUUUUGGGUUAAUGCUAGAAUAAGUUAAACUUUGGGAGACUGUUGGGAAGGCAUGAUUGAGUUUUUAAAUGUGAGAAGGCCAUGAGAUUUGGGAGGGGCUGGGGGUGUAAUGAUAUGGUUUGGCUCUUUUUCCCCACCCAAAUCUCUUCUCUAAUUGUAAUCCACAUGUAUCAAGGGAGGGACCUGGUGGGAGGUGAUUGAAUCAUGAGGCAGUUUCCCCUAUACUGUUCUCAUGAUAGUGAAUGAGUUCUUAUGGGAUCUGAUUGUUUAAAAAUAUAGCACUUUCACCUCCCACCUCUCUCCUGUUGCCAUGUAAGGCGUGCCUUGCUUUCCCUUCACCUUCCACCAUGAUUGUAAGUUUCCUGAGGCCUCCCUAACCAUGAGGAACU
rnacentral:lncRNA from 1 species